GACGAACGCUGGCGGCGUGCUUAACACAUGCAAGUCGAACGGAAAGGCCCUGCUUUUGUGGGGUGCUCGAGUGGCGAACGGGUGAGUAACACGUGAGUAACCUGCCCUUGACUUUGGGAUAACUUCAGGAAACUGGGGCUAAUACCGGAUAGGAGCUCCUGCUGCAUGGUGGGGGUUGGAAAGUUUCGGCGGUUGGGGAUGGACUCGCGGCUUAUCAGCUUGUUGGUGGGGUAGUGGCUUACCAAGGCUUUGACGGGUAGCCGGCCUGAGAGGGUGACCGGCCACAUUGGGACUGAGAUACGGCCCAGACUCCUACGGGAGGCAGCAGUGGGGAAUAUUGCACAGUGGGCGGAAGCCUGAUGCAGCAACGCCGCGUGCGGGAUGACGGCCUUCGGGUUGUAGACCGCUUUCGCCUGUGACGAAGCGUGAGUGACGGUAAUGGGUAAAGAAGCACCGGCUAACUACGUG
rnacentral:rRNA from 1 species